rnacentral:lncRNA from 1 species
UAAAAGAGGCUUGAAUUUGGUGCCAUACAAAGUGAAAACCAAUAAUUUUGGAAGUAAUAGUUUCACAUAAAAGACAGAACAGCGAAAAAGAGAAAUCAUGACAGGACUGUAAGAAAAAACAUUUGAGAGAGAAUUUGGAGCAAAUAUUGCAG